rnacentral:rRNA from 1 species
CGAUUGAGACUUACCAACAUUGCAACUCCGAAUACCAAAGAGUGCGAGCAGUGGGAGACAGACAUCGGGUGCUAACGUCCGGUGUCAAAAGGGAAACAACCCAGACCCUCAGCUAAGGUCCCCAAGACACAAUUAAGUGGAAACGAAGUGGGAAGGCAUAGACAGUCAGGAGGUUGGCUUAGAAGCAGCCACCCUUUAAAGAAAGCGUAAUAGCUCACUGAUCGAGUCGUCCUGCGCGGAAGAUGUAACGGGGCUCAAAUUGUGCACCGAAGCUAGGGAUUUACAUUUUAUGUAGAUGGUAGGAGAGCGUUCCGUAAGCCUGUGAAGGUGGUUUGUAAAGACUGCUGGAGGUAUCGGAAGUGCGAAUGCUGACAUGAGUAGCGAUAAAGGGAGUGAAAGACUCCCUCGCCGAAAACCCAAGGUUUCCUGUGCAACGUUAAUCGGCGCAGGGUGAGUCGGCCCCUAAGGUGAGGCAGAAAUGCGUAACUGAUGGGAAACUGGUUAAAAUUCCAGUACCUUUGUUCAAUGCGAUGUGGGGAC